rnacentral:rRNA from 1 species
CAGCAGCCACGGGAAUACGUAGGUGGCAAGCGUUGUCCGGAAUUAUUGGGCGUAAAGGGCUCGCAGGCGGUUUCUUAAGUCUGAUGUGAAAGCCCCCGGCUCAACCGGGGAGGGUCAUUGGAAACUGGGAAACUUGAGUGCAGGAGAGGAGAGUGGAAUUCCACGUGUAGCGGUGAAAUGCGUAGAGAUGUGGAGGAACACCAGUGGCGAAGGCGACUCUCUGGUCUGUAACUGACGCUGAGGAGCGAAAGCGUGGGGAGCGAACAGGAUUAGAUACCCCAGUAGUCCCUGUCUCUUAUAC